rnacentral:rRNA from 1 species
AUUGAACGCUGGCGGCAUGCCUAACACAUGCAAGUCGAACGGUAACACGCCUGCGGUUGCCCCCGGGUGGGGGACUGGCGGGUGGUACAGGGAUACGUGCCAAACUGCGCAGGCUAGGGGGACAACGUAUUUAAACUUACGCUAUUCCCUCAACCGCUGCUCGCGGGAAAGCGCGGGACCUUGGGCCGUGGCGCGAGUGGAUGAGCGCAUGUUCGAUUAGCUAGUUGGCGGGUUAAAGGCCCACCAAGCCGACGAUCGGUAGCUGGUCUGAGAGGAUGAUCAGCCACACUGGGACUGAGACACGGCCCAGACUCCUACGGGAGGCAGCAGUGGGGAAUAUUGGACAAUGGGCGCAAGCCUGAUCCAGCCAUGCCGCGUGCAGGAUGAAGGCCCUCGGGUUGUAAAGUUCUUUUGUACGGGAAGAAAAGCAUCCGGCUAAUACAGGAGUGUCAUGACGGUACCGGAAGAAUAAGCACCGGCUAACUACGUG